rnacentral:rRNA from 1 species
ACGGAAGGCAGCAGUGGGGAAUAUUGGGCAAUGGGCGAAAGCCUGACCCAGCAACGCCGCGUGAAGGAAGAAGGUCUUCGGAUUGUAAACUUCUUUUAUGAGGGACGAAGGACGUGACGGUACCUCAUGAAUAAGCCACGGCUAACUACGUGCCAGCAGCCGCGGUAAUACGUAGGGGGCAAGCGUUAUCCGGAUUUACUGGGUGUAAAGGGAGUGUAGGUGGUUUGGCAAGCCAGAUGUGAAAGCCCGGGGCUCAACCCCGCGGACUGCAUUUGGAACUGUUAAACUUGAGUGCAGGAGAGGAAAGUGGAAUUCCUAGUGUAGCGGUGAAAUGCGUAGAUAUUAGGAGGAACACCAGUGGCGAAGGCGGCUUUCUGGACUGUAACUGACACUGAGGCUCGAAAGCGUGGGGAGCAAACAGGAUUAGAUACCCUGGUA